UUUUUCUUGUUGUUCUCUUUGAAAAAGGGUGAAUGGUGUGUGCUAACUGCAAGGAAGGUACCAGAGCCUCAGCAAAGCGCGUGCAGAGGGCACAUAAAAUACCUGAUAGGAGCAUAUGUAUAAGAGCAGAUGCUAAACAAUGACAAAUGGAACGUGGACAAGCAGAAAAACUUGGAGAGAUUAUGAAUGUGGAUAGGGCAGAAAGAACUUUAGAAGUUCUUCCCAGUAGGGUGGUCAGGCCCUGGAAGAGAUGGGCAGGGUUGCUGUGGCGUUUCCCGGAGAUACGACCUUGAGCGACCCGAUCUACUUGUGAAGCUCCACUUGGAGGAGGACACUGCACUGAGUGACCUCCGGAGACCCCUUCCAAACUCAUAUCUUCAACAGUUGUCUGGUUCAGAAAAAAAAAAAAGAAAAAAGGAAAAAAAAAGUAUCAAGGAGAAACAAGCAAAUCAGAAGGAGAUCCCUCUGAUGCUGUAACCGGACUCCCCACAAACCAAUUUUGAGCGGGGACAUGGAAAAGGAGGCAUGGGCUAGGAUUUGGAAAGCAUUUGACAACAUGGAAAAACAGAACACAGGGGAAAUAAAGGCAUAGGGAAUGCAAAUGACCAGUUAAUCAGCUGAGGAACUAGUAAAUUAACCCAGUAUCCUGGAUUACAAACAAGACGUCAAGCAGUGGAUCACACUCUCAAAGAUCAGGGAGGCUUCAAUUUCUGUAGCACACCGAGUGUGAAACACUUAAAAAAACUUAAGAAGUUCUUAAGAAGAAGUGCCAGAGUUAUUAAUACUAAUGUUGGAUAGGCCGAAAGCAGAAAUGCAAUCUCCAUAAAUGCUAAAUUAGAAAGAGGUGAGGAUGAAUAUCAGACCUCUGGAAGACAUCUGGAAGCAAGCUGUGAGUUGUAGUCAAAGCUAAAUAAAGUAACUGAGAAAAAAGUGGUGGAAUGGUUUAUUUCUGAAUGUUUGGUUUCUGGGAUAGAUUGUCACAUGAACAGACAUUUUAAGGAUGUCCUCUGUGCUCAGGACAGGUUAUUUUUCACAUUUACGUGGGCAUGAUAAGGAGUCCCAGAAGGCCAAUUUUAAAUGAGAGCUGCUCUGAAAGUAAUGCUUCCUAUUUUAU
ensembl:lncRNA